CCUACGGGUGGCAGCAGUGGGGAAUAUUGCACAAUGGGGGGAACCCUGAUGCAGCGACGCCGCGUGCAUGAAGAAGUACUUCGGUAUGUAAAGCUCUAUCAGCAGGGAAGAAAAUGACGGUACCUGAGUAAGGAGCCCCGGCUAACUACGUGCCAGCAGCCGCGGUAAUACGUAGGGGGCGAGCGUUAUCCGGAUUUACUGGGGGUAAAGGGAGCGUAGACGGGAGUGCAAGUCUGGAGUGAAAGGCGGGGGCUCAACCACGGGACUGCUUUGGAAACUGUGGGGCUGGAGUGCAGGAGAGGUAAGCGGAAUUCAUAGUGUAGCGGUGAAAUGCGUAGAUAUUAGGAGGAACACCAGUGGCGAAGGCGGCUUACUGGACUGUAACUGACGCUGAGGCUCGAAAGCGUGGGGAGCAAACAGGAUUAGAUACCCUAGUAGUC
rnacentral:rRNA from 1 species